rnacentral:rRNA from 1 species
CCUACGGGUGGCAGCAGUGAGGAAUAUUGGUCAAUGGACGAGAGUCUGAACCAACCAAGUAGCGUGAAGGAUGACUGCCCUAUGGGUUGUAAACUUCUUUUAUAAAGGAAUAAAACGAGGCACGUGUGCCUUUUUGCAUGUACUUUAUGAAUAAGGAUCGGCUAACUCCGUGCCAGCAGCCGCGGUAAUACGGAGGAUCCGAGCGUUAUCCGGAUUUAUUGGGUUUAAAGGGAGCGUAGAUGGGUUGUUAAGUCAGUUGUGAAAGUUUGCGGCUCAACCGUAAAAUUGCAAUUGAUACUGGCAGUCGUGAGUACAGUUGAGGUAGGCGGAAUUCGUGGUGUAGCGGUGAAAUGCUUAGAUAUCACGAAGAACUCCGAUUGCGAAGGCAGCUUACUAAACUGCCACUGACAUUGAUGCUCGAAAGUGUGGGUAUCAAACAGGAUUAGAUACCCCAGUAGUC